rnacentral:rRNA from 1 species
CCCUUAGAUGUUCUGGGCCGCACGCGCGCUACACUGAUGCAUUCAACGAGUCUAAAACCUGGUCUGAUAGGGCUGGGUAAUCUUUUGAAAGUGCAUCGUGAUUGGGAUAGAUGAUUGCAAUUCUUCAUCUUCAACGAGGAAUGCCUAGUAAACGCAAGUCAUCAGCUUGCAUUGAUUACGUCCCUGCCCUUUGUACACACCGCCCGUCGCUCCUACCGAUUGAAUGAUCCGAUGAAUACCAUGGAUUGAGAGUACGAAUGGGUUCGCUCAUUUCUGCUGCUCGAGAAGUGGAGUAAAUCUUAUCAUUUAGAGGAAGGAGAAGUCGUAACA